rnacentral:rRNA from 1 species
AGUGAACGCUGGCGGUAGGCCUAACACAUGCAAGUCGAACGGCAGCACAGUAAGAGCUUGCUCUUACGGGUGGCGAGUGGCGGACGGGUGAGGAAUACAUCGGAAUCUACUUUUUCGUGGGGGAUAACGUAGGGAAACUUACGCUAAUACCGCAUACGACCUACGGGUGAAAGCAGGGGAUCUUCGGACCUUGCGCGUAUGAAUGAGCCGAUGUCGGAUUAGCUAGUUGGCGGGGUAAAGGCCCACCAAGGCGACGAUCCGUAGCUGGUCUGAGAGGAUGAUCAGCCACACUGGAACUGAGACACGGUCCAUACUCCUACCGGAGGCAGCAGUGCGGAAUAUUGGACAAUUAGCGCAAGCCUGUUCCAGCCACACCGCGUGGGUGAAGAAGGCCUUCGGGUUGUAAAGCCCUUUUGUUGGGAAAGAAAAGCAGCACGUUAAUACCCCGCUGUUCUGACGGUACCCACAGAAUAAGCACCGGCUAACUUCGUG